rnacentral:Y_RNA from 1 species
GGUUGAUCCGAGGAUUGUGGGUUAUUGUUAAGCUGAUUAACAUUGUCUCCCUCCCUCAUCCUUACUUGACUAGCUACGCUCUUUU